GGACUGUAAAGCAGAAGAGUCAGUUGUUGUAAACAACCCAAGUAGGUCGACUAGUAGUAAACGCAAGGCAUCUAACAAUACUGUGUAAUUCCUUUGGUUCUCAACAAGGUGUGUUCGGAUCAAGUAGAGAAAGCCAUCAUAAUCAUUCCAGAUAUCCUGGCUGCAGGUUGUUGGGCAGGUGAAACUACUUUUAGGAAGCACUACCUGAGGGAUACCGGAACCACAGGAAGCAGGUUUGCAGAAAGUGUUCUGCAACAGUUGUAAAUAAAAAC